GUUUCCUAGUAUGUUUUUUUUUUCUCUCUUUGUAUGUUAUCAGGGGUUGUUAGACUAUUAAAUUACCCUGUUGUCCUACGUAGUUAUUUAUAUUUUUAUAUACUAUGUCGAAUUGUUACACUAUGUUGACUGCUCUUUUCCUUUUAUUGUCACUGACUUUUACCUAUUGUGUCUUUUAGUUUUAUUCAGUUUAAUGAGAUUUGAUGCAACUUGCAUACAAAUGAAAUAUGCAGCUAGCUGUAAAACUAGGUUUAUUCAUUUAUACAAAAUGUCCUUUUUUUUUUUUUUAAAGUUUUCCCAUUUACUGUAAAUCUUGGCCAGGGUGCCGCAAUAUCACUGUGCGCAACGUCCCAGUGUGUCCAGAUUGACACCCCUUUUAUUUUACUGUCAAUGCUGAUGGGAUUUGUUUGUGUGGGGAUGAGAGAAAAGUGUUUUUGGCUUUUUCAAAAAGACGGGAAAAGUUUGUGCACUUAAGUCUCGUAUAGUCUAUCCACUGCAUGCCUGGGCAAUUUGGGUUCCCCUCCAAAAUCCCGAAUUCACGCUACCCUUGUCGUUGCUGGCAGAAAAUCAGUAAGUGUAUACAUGCUACAUGUAUGUGUAAAAAAAUACUUGUGUAGUCUACUUGUUCAAAAAUAAAAACG
rnacentral:lncRNA from 1 species